UGGGGAAUAUUGGACAAUGGGCGCAAGCCUGAUCCAGCAAUGCCGCGUGAGUGAUGAAGGCCUUAGGGUUGUAAAGCUCUUUUACCAGGGAUGAUAAUGACAGUACCUGGAGAAUAAGCUCCGGCUAACUCCGUGCCAGCAGCCGCGGUAAUACGGAGGGAGCUAGCGUUGUUCGGAAUUACUGGGCGUAAAGCGUACGUAGGCGGUGACUCAAGUCAGAGGUGAAAGCCUGGAGCUCAACUCCAGAACUGCCUUUGAAACUAGGUCGCUAGAAUCACGGAGAGGUGAGUGGAAUUCCGAGUGUAGAGGUGAAAUUCGUAGAUAUUCGGAAGAACACCAGUGGCGAAGGCGGCUCACUGGACGUGUAUUGACGCUGAGGUACGAAAGCGUGGGGAGCAAACAGGAUUAGAUACCCUUGUAGUCCCUGAGCGGGCUGGCAAGGCGCAU
rnacentral:rRNA from 1 species